rnacentral:rRNA from 1 species
GCCUGAUCAGCCAUGCCGCGUGUAUGAAGAAGGCCUUCGGGUUGUAAAGUACUUUCAGUUGUGAGGAAGGGGGUGUCGUUAAUAGCGGCAUCUCUUGACGUUAGCAACAGAAGAAGCACCGGCUAACUCCGUGCCAGCAGCCGCGGUAAUACGGAGGGUGCGAGCGUUAAUCGGAAUUACUGGGCGUAAAGCGCAUGCAGGUGGUUCAUUAAGUCAGAUGUGAAAGCCCGGGGCUCAACCUCGGAACUGCAUUUGAAACUGGUGAACUAGAGUACUGUAGAGGGGGGUAGAAUUUCAGGUGUAGCGGUGAAAUGCGUAGAGAUCUGAAGGAAUACCAGUGGCGAAGGCGGCCCCCUGGACAGAUACUGACACUCAGAUGCGAAAGCGUGGGGAGCAAACAGGAUUAGAUACCCUGGUAGUCCACGCCGUAAACGAUGUCUACUUGGAGGUUGUGGCCUUGAGCCGUGGCUUUCGGAGCUAACGCGUUAAGUAGACCGCCUGGGGAGUACGGUCGCAAGAUUAAAACUCAAAUGAAUUGACGGGGGCCCGCACAAGCGGUGGAGCAUGUGGUUUAAUUCGAUGCAACGCGAAGAACCUUACCUACUCUUGACAUCCAGAGAAGCCAGCGGAGACGCAGGUGUGCCUUCGGGAGCUCUGAGACAGGUGCUGCAUGGCUGUCGUCAGCUCGUGUUGUGAAAUGUUGGGUUAAGUCCCGCAACGAGCGCAACCCUUAUCCUUGUUUGCCAGCGAGUAAUGUCGGGAACUCCAGGGAGACUGCCGGUGAUAAACCGGAGGAAGGUGGGGACGACGUCAAGUCAUCAUGGCCCUUACGAGUAGGGCUACACACGUGCUACAAUGGCGCAUACAGAGGGCGGCGAACUUGCGAGAGUGAGCGAAUCCCAAAAAGUGCGUCGUAGUCCGGAUUGGAGUCUGCAACUCGACUCCAUGAAGUCGGAAUCGCUAGUAAUCGUAGAUCAGAAUGCUACGGUGAAUACGUUCCCGGGCCUUGUACACACCGCCCGUCACACCAUGGGAGUGGGCUGCAAAAGAAGUGGGUAGUUUAACCUUUCGGGGGAGACUCUCCCCUUUUUGGGUUUGAGAGGGGGGAACGCA